UCAAGAUACAAAAGAUUGAAGACUUUUUCACCCCAAAUCCAUCAAGAUUCUCCAUUACAUCACCGAAUCAACCAUGAUUUCUUCAUCAAUUCAAGCAUUUGAAGAUUCUUCGUGUGAGAUGAGCGGCUAAACUUUUUGUGGUUUCCUCCGGAUGGAGGGUAAAACACGUAAAUCAGUGCAUUUACGAUGGUUAAAGAUGAAGUUGUGAGCUUUGGAUGGGAUAUUGCAGCUCGAGGAUGAAUGUUGAAGUUUGCUCGGGUGAUAUGAAGGCUCACGAGUGAAAGGAGUAUGAAAGAACAAAGUCCAGGGACCAUUCGGUACAUAAUUGGAAGUUGCUUUUUGUCACGGUUCAGGAGUGUAUAGUUAUAAAACCAACAGCAAGUCUAUAUCGUGACCCCCACUUCAGACUGUGACUCCCUGUUCAGAAUCCCUGUUAGUGCAGCAAAGGCAUCAAGAUACAAAAGAUUGAAGACUUUUUCACCCCAAAUCCAUCAAGAUUCUCCAUUCCAUCACCGAAUCAACCAUGAUUUCUUCAUC
rnacentral:lncRNA from 1 species